UACAGAGGCCUCGAGCGUUAGGCGGAAUCACUGGGCUUAAAGCGUGUGUAGGCGGACUUCUAAGUACCUUGUGAAAUCCCACGGACUUACCCGUGGAACCGGCUGGGUAUACUGGUACGUCUUGAGCCAUCUAGGGGCUACCGGAACGAAAUGGUGGAGCGGUGAAAUGCGUAGAUAUACAUUUGGAACGCCAAUGGUGAAAACAGGUAGCUGGGGAUGUGCUGACGCUGAGACACGAAAGCCAGGGGAGCGAACGGG
rnacentral:rRNA from 1 species